rnacentral:lncRNA from 1 species
UGAUUUCCCGCUUUCCAACAAAUGUAAAGAGCUUGAUAUAUCACAUAUAUUCAUCUUCAGUUAAAGUGGAUUUGUCAUUCCUAUCCAAUUGGGGGCUGAUUUUUCAUGGCUUGUUUAUGGGGGACGGGUUGGACGCCUGGUUCAUGAUGGAGGGGGGCUGUUUGGUUGUGAAGUUUUCCGGCGAUGUGAAGGUGACGGGCUGGACGGGGAAGAUGAAGCAACG